rnacentral:rRNA from 1 species
GACGAACGCUGGCGGCGUGCUUAACACAUGCAAGUCGAACGGAAUCCAUGGUGUAGCAAUACACCGGAAGAUUUAGUGGCGAACGGGUGAGGAUCACGUGAGAAACGUGCCCCAGACUCUGGGAUAACAAUUGGAAACGAUUGCUAAUACCGGAUGACGUCGGAGAAUCGCAUGAUUCACUGACGAAAGAUAUUUCGGUUUGGGAGCGUCUCGCGGCCUAUCAGCUUGUUGGUGGGGUAAUGGCCUACCAAGGCAACGACGGGUAGCUGGUCUGAGAGGAUGAUCAGCCACACUGGGACUGAGACACAGCCCAGACUCCUACGGGAGGCAGCAGUGGGGAAUCUUGCGCAAUGGGCGAAAGCCUGACGCAGCAACGCCGCGUGCGGGAUGAAGGCCUUCGGGCUGUAAACCGCUUUCAGCAGGAACGAAAAUGACGGUA